rnacentral:rRNA from 1 species
AUUGAACGCUGGCGGCAGGCCUAACACAUGCAAGUCGAACGGUAACAGGAAGAAGCUUGCUUCUUUGCUGACGAGUGGCGGACGGGUGAGUAAUGUCUGGGAAACUGCCUGAUGGAGGGGGAUAACUACUGGAAACGGUAGCUAAUACCGCAUAACGUCGCAAGACCAAAGAGGGGGACCUUCGGGCCUCUUGCCAUCGGAUGUGCCCAGAUGGGAUUAGCUAGUAGGUGGGGUAACGGCUCACCUAGGCGACGAUCCCUAGCUGGUCUGAGAGGAUGACCAGCCACACUGGAACUGAGACACGGUCCAGACUCCUACGGGAGGCAGCAGUGGAGAAUAUUGCACAAUGGGCGCAAGCAUGAUGCAGCCAUGCCGCGUGUAUGAAGAAGGCCUUCGGGUUGUAAAGUACUUUCAGCGGGGAGGAAGGGAGUAAAGUUAAUACCUUUGCUCAUUGACGUUACCCGCAGAAGAAGCACCGGCUAACUCCGUG